GCCGGGCGCGGUGGCUCAAGCCUGUAAUCCCAGCACUUUGGGAGGCCGAGAUGGGCGGAUCACGAGGUCAGGAGAUCGAGACCAUCCUGGCAAACACGGUGCAACCCCGUCUCUAAUAAAAAAUGCAAAAAAACUAGCNNNNNNNNNNGCUAGUUUUUUUGCAUUUUUUAUUAGAGACGGGGUUGCACCGUGUUAGCCAGGAUGGUCUGGAUCUCCUGACCUCGUGAUCCGCCCGCCUCAG
rnacentral:SRP_RNA from 1 species